AGUGAACGCUGGCGGUAGGUCUAACACAUGCAAGUCGAACGGCAGCACAGUAAGAGCUUGCUCUUACGGGUGGCGAGUGGCGGACGGGUGAGGAAUACAUCGGAAUCUACUUUUUCGUGGGGGAUAACGUAGGGAAACUUACGCUAAUACCGCAUACGACCUACGGGUGAAAGCAGGGGAUCUUCGGACCUUACGCGAUUGAAUGAGCCGAUGUCGGAUUAGCUAGUUGGCGGGGUAAAGGCCCACCAAGGCGACGAUCCGUAGCUGGUCUGAGAGGAUGAUCAGCCACACUGGAACUGAGACACGGUCCAGACUCCUACGGGAGGCAGCAGUGGGGAAUAUUGGACAAAGGGCGCAAGCCUGAUCCAGCCAUACCGCGUGGGUGAAGAAGGCCUUCGGGUUGUAAAGCCCUUUUGUUGGGAAAGAAAAGCAGCAGGUUAAUACCCCGCUGUUCUGACGGUACCCAAAGAAUAAGCACCGGCUAACUUCGUG
rnacentral:rRNA from 1 species